rnacentral:lncRNA from 1 species
UUUAAGGUAUCCAGAUCUUAUUCGGCGGAUCCAUUUUUUUAUUAUCCUUAUUCGGAUCAUGGGGUUCCCGGAUAUCCGAUAUCCUUCUAAGAAUUAUAAUAUCCAGCAGAUAUCCGGAUCCCGAUUUAGAUCCUUCAAAUAAAUAAUUGUUUUUUAAAAUAUAUACAAUAAUUUUAAAAAAUAAAAAUGUUUAUAAUGUUUUCAUUAUUUGUAUAUAUACUAUUACAAAUUUAUAUAAAUUUUAUAUAAUCUAUUCAUGGUCUCUCUCUUUGACGGCGAUGAAACGGGAGAACUAGGGUUUGAUGUUUCUGCGAAGAUGGGAUCCGGGGAUCUGCGGGGUUUUAUGGAAAUUUAAGAUCUGGUUUGAAGGCGAUGGGCUUCGAUUAUCAUCAAGACGGAAUCACGAAUCUACACAGGUUGUAUGAUGGAUCGUGAUCCUUUAUUUUCUUUCCUUUAUCUAAUUGAGAUUUAUCUCCAUUAUCACUGGCUGGGAUGUAUUGGGGCAUGGGAUUUAUGGUUUUUUCGGGAAGAAAGAUCGAACUGUAUCAAUUUACAGAGAUACGGGAUAACAGAGGAUUUUGUUCGGAACGAAAAAUAAGGAAAACUGGGGAAGACAUAAUGGGAUGAUAACAGCUUUUCUUUGGUGUAUCAUUCUUCAUUAUUCUUCUAAUAGCAAAGGUCUAAAUGGCAACAUGGACGUGCUUGAAGUUUUAUGGGGAGUGAUCUAUGGGAACAAAGGUUGUUGGAUCAUCUGUUUGGUUACGAGCUGGUUCGAACAUAGGUUUAUAUCAGUCAGUUAGCAGGUACUCUGGAGUUUGGUGCAAUUAUGGUGGUUGCUAAAAAGAAUAUGGAGCCUCAAGAUGAAAGGAGUAUGUUGGAGCAU